rnacentral:rRNA from 1 species
UACGUAGGCAGCAAGCGUUGUUCGGAGUUACUGGGCGUAAAGGGUGUGUAGGCGGUUGCUUAAGUUUGGUGUGAAAUCUCCCGGCUCAACUGGGAGGGUGCGCCGAAUAUUGAGUGACUCGAGUGCGGGAGAGGAAAGUGGAAUUCCUGGUGUAGCGGUGAAAUGCGUAGAUAUCAGGAGGAACACCGGUGGUGUAGACGGCUUUCUGGACCGUAACUGACGCUGAAACACGAAAGCGUGGGUAGCAAACAGG